GGGUGUUAAACCCAGAGAUUGCAUAUGGGUAAAUGUAGAGAGAAUUGCAUGGUCAUUUUUGAGCUUGGUUUGGUGUUUGAUUAUUGAAUUCCAUGCCUUGUUGGUUUUAUUGUUGGGAGUAAAAUGGAGGGUUUGGAGGCUUAUCAGCAUCUCAUUUAUGAUUUUUAGUUGGAGAUAAGGGAGAAGGAAGAGAAAUGGAGUCCAAGCAGAAGAUAGACCUUGAAGGGAGGUUCAGGGAUAAGCUAUUCAGUUGUAAGCUUAGCAAAAUGUUC
rnacentral:lncRNA from 1 species